rnacentral:misc_RNA from 1 species
AACGCACGAGACCUGCGGACCUGCGGAAGGAUCAUUAAUGAGAAGCUGCCCCCCGUGGGUAGACCUCCCACCCUCUGUGAACUUACCUUUGUUGCUUUGGCAGGCCCGUCCUCUGGACCGCCGGCUUCGGCUGGCCCGUGCCUGCCAGAGGAUUCCAAACCCUGUCUGUCAGUGUUGUCUGAGUCUAUAUGAAAUCGUUAAAACUUUCAACAAUGGAUCUCUAGAUCGGAAGAGCACACG